GAUGAACGCUGGCGGCGUGCCUAAUACAUGCAAGUCGAGCGAACAGAUGAGGAUCUUGCUCCUCUGACGUUAGCGGCGGACGGGUGAGUAACACGUGGAUAACCUACCUAUAAGACUGGGAUAACUUCGGGAAACCGGAGCUAAUACCGGAUAAUAUAUUGAACCGCAUGGUUCAAUGGUGAAAGACGGUUUUGCUGUCACUUAUAGAUGGAUCCGCGCCGCAUUAGGUAGUUGGUAAGGUAACGGCUUACCAAGGCAACGAUGCGUAGCCGACCUGAGAGGGUGGUCGGCCACACGGGAACUGAGACACGGUCCAGACUCCUACGGGAGGCAGCAGUAGGGAAUCUUCCGCAAUGGGCGAAAGCCUGACGGAGCAACGCCGCGUGAGUGAUGAAGGUCUUCGGAUCGUAAAACUCUGUUAUUAGGGAAGAACAAAUGUGUAAGUAACUAUGCACGUCUUGACGGUAACUAAUCAGAAAGCCACGGCUAACUACGUG
rnacentral:rRNA from 1 species